AUUCCAGCUCCAGUAGCGUAUAUUAAAGUUGUUGCAGUUAAAAAGCUCGUAGUUGGAUUUCUGGCUCGACGGAGCUGACCCGCGGCGCAAGCCGUGAGUGUCGGUCUCGGUCUGCCAUCCUUCCAGAGAACGUUCCUACCCUUCACUGGGCCGGGUUCGCAAUCUGGAACUUUUACUUUGAGGAAAUUAGAGUGUUCAAAGCAGGCUUGCGCUGUGAAUACAUUAGCAUGGAAUAUCAACUUAGGACUUUGGUUCUAUUUUGUUGGUUUCUAGGACUGAAGUAAUGAUUGAUAGGGAUAGUUGGGGGUGCUAGUAUUUCGUGGCCAGAGGUGAAAUUCUUGGAUUCACGAAAGACUAACUUAUGCGAAAGCAUUCACCAAGGAUGUCUUCAUCA
rnacentral:rRNA from 1 species